UUGUUGUUUUUUGGGUUUUUUUUUUUUUUUUUUCAAACUCAGCCUCCUGCCUUCUCUUUGAGGCCUGUUCCGAGGCUGAAAACACAUGCUUCCUCUUCUGUCUCUGGUGUUAUUUAAGGAAAAAGGCACUCUAACCCCUCCUCUCUCUCUCUCUCUCUCUCUCUCUCACUCUCUCUCUCUGUUUCUGCACUGGGAUGGGUGUGGUUUUUCGAAGACAAACUUCUGAAUGAUUUGUGUGCAUACGUCUCAGUUCCCGAGUAGUUCUAGAGGAGGAGCACGAUGCAGAGUAGAUCCCGGCCUGCAAUCACAGUGGAGUAAAAAAAAAUAAAAAACGCAUAAGGCUCCAUUCCUUGAGGCUCCUCUGGCUGGAUAUGGAACUUCUCAGGACAGCUUGGACCAAACCGAAGCUCCUCCAUCAGAGGAUCAGAGAACGCCGUGGUCUGGUCCAUGUUGUCAGAGAACAUCUGGUGAAAAGAUCUGGAGAGCUACUUAUUGGGAGUGGACUUUGAAGAAAAGUGAGCUUAUGUGUCAUUUGGGAAAGUAAGGCUGUUGCAAUGUUUUUGUCUACUGUGCAAUAUUAAAAACCCUUUGGUCCAGACAGAGGAACAUGCUUUGCUUUAGAGUAUUUCAAAGGAGGGGCGGAAAGAAAAAAAAAAACCCCAGCCAUUAGCAUUUGCUUUAGACUGGAGCAUCCUCCAGGCUCUUAAUAUGGCCCAUAACACAAUUACACACUGGCUACGGCUAUGCUGAUGAGAGACAACUACAUCUAAACAUCUCCACAUGCACAAGGCAAUGGCUACCUCCAGACAUGAUUACUGUGCAUUAUUCUAGUGAGCUACUCCAUGUUGAAAUAAUGAGAUGAAAUGUUUUGGAGCAGAUCCGUCGCAUUAUCUUAUCCGUUGCCGUGUACAUGUCCGUUGUAUGCUUUAGUUAAAAUGUAAGGUUCAGGGACAAUUAUUAUCACAUGAGUGACAAACAUUUCCAAAGCUGCUAAUAACCUGGGACGUGAAAGGACUUCUCUCGUCACCGCUGAGAAUGCCCGAUGGUGAGGUGAACGUCGAGUACGCGGACACACGUACUGUACACACACCUCCCCAAACUGUCAGAAGGUCACGCAAACACAAGGCACUAAGGCGCUAUUGAGCGAGUGUUUUCGCAGGUGAGCCAAGGCAAAUGAGUCCUGUGAGUAAAAUGUGCAAGAUGAAACUGUAUGACAUUGCAUUAGUAUGGUUUAGUGUGUGUGUGUGUGUAAAAUUAAUGGGUGAUGACUGACCAAACCUAGUGUGUGAACAACUGCCGCCAAGUCUUUUUCCUCUCACUCUCUCCUCACUGGGGCAGCUGGAGGGAUUCCUGGCAGAGUGAUUUGGGACUAAAUCAGAAAAUCACAUUGCCAGGGAUUUCCAACCAGCUGCAGGCCACUUGCUUCGACGACUAAAGGCUACACAUGUCCUCUGAUAUGUCCUCUGCCAUAUUUACGUUUACCCUGCAUCUCAUUCUCUGUACACGGCCGUCGAUCCUUGCCUCAGUAAUCUCCCGAAGCCAAAUCUCAGAGGCUCGAAAGAUGCCCCUGUCUGCCACGAAGCCUGAAUAAGAAUAAAUGAUAACUGAGGAAGGCUGAAAAUUUCUGAACAUACAGAAAACCUAGGUUCCAAACAGAACACGAAAUGGCUUUCAUUUAUUUCAGAGCGUAAACACUCAGUCUCCAAAUGACGACUGUGGUUUUAUGAAUUGGAACAGGAUACGGGACCUUGGUGCCAUGCAGACGUAUGUGGGAUCACAGUAUAAAAAAGACUGCGGCUUCUGUACUCGAGGUGGUCUUUGAAACCUACAUGUGGAAAGAAUUGGAAUUAUCACCAUCAUAUUCUUUGAUGCAUAAGUGUAUGUCGAAAAAAAUAAAUAAUAAUUUGUUAACGGCUUCAUUAGGCAUAUGGAUAUGGUUCUGAUUCUGUCUAGAAGGUUUAAGACAAAGAGUUAGUAUAAUUUGGGGGAGGAAUGUUGCAGGGCUAGUGUUGAAUGGGAUAUUUUAUUGGUCUUGUAAAAAAAAAAAAAAAAUUAAAUUACUGCGAUACUUUGGUGCACUUUUUUAUUUUUUUAACCAUCUCAUUUCACCAUAGAUUGAUUGGUUGAUAUUUUCCCCCGGUGACCUCCGUUGUGGAAGAAUUACCCCAGGAACCACUCAUCGUUAAAAUGUAAUAAUGUGUAUACAUGUGGAAACAAGCUGAAAUGGCCACUUUCCCAAUUCAGACUGUGCCAGUGACCGACAUCUACGAUCUCCGGGUUAUAGUGUGGUAGAAAGCGGAAAAACAUGAGCAAAAGCUUGAAAAAGAAGACUUUACCCGAGCACAUGAACUCACGAGAAGAACGCCUGGCUCCGAUAAGGUGGCGUUUAAAUGCUAAGCGUCACUCUGUGAUGUUUCGUGAGGUGCAGGACUUGGCUUGCUUUGUGAACAGAUCCAGGAAAAGGCCGUGUUCACAGUGGCUAAGUUCCGCUCCUCUGAGGCUAACUCUCAGAAUGGCUGGAAGGCGCUAAUCCAGGCACCAUGCGUAUACAGACUCCAAGAGGAAAGCGCACUGACCUAAGGUAAGCUUUUCUUGUCAUAUUUGAAUGAUCAGUUCUAUACAAACGGUCAGGAGACUGGAUUUUGUUUUUACAAACACAGGCGUGAGGUGCCAGCUUUCAUCUCUCGGCCGGCGGAUCUGAUUAAGUAUGUUCUUCUCCGUAGGGAUACGCACGUGCUGAAUAAUAUAUAGAGACCAUACAGGCUCGGACACGUCUCUCAAGUCCUCACAGGCAAAUAAAUGAUCGUUCAAACAUAGUAUAGGCUUGAACACUUUCAUGUGUAAAGCCAGGUCUCUGUUUACAGAAGAGAAGAUGAACUCAGCGACACAAAAAGCCACAUCAAGAACCGUUUCAAACAAUUCAUACACCCCCAACAUGUGUUUUGACAGGGACAUCUGUAUGGCACCCGUUCAUAUGAAAAGGCUCUACGUAUCGCGAUGCAUUGAGUAGACAAGUCUUUUACAAAACCAUGAAAGAAGGCCAACGUAUUAUAUUAUCUUGAAAGAAUUGUUCAAACAGAUUUACUUUUAGCCGGUAAGAACCGUUUCAUUCACUAUAACGACAUAUAAGGGACCAUAAUAAAAACAGCUGUCGUGGAUGUGUACGUCAAGCAGCAUGAUUGAAAAUCCAAACAUGUUUGGAUUCAAGUGCAAGGUACAACCCCCAGCUUAUAUGAUGAGAAACGUCAACAACGUCUAAUACAUGAUACAGCCAUGGAUAUCUUUUUUUUUUCUUCCACUUUGACAGGGAACUCUAAGACAUAUCCGGUACAGUGUGAAGAGAUGUAUCUUAGGAUUGUGAAUAAAUAAUGAAAUGGGUAUGAAUCGGAUUGUGUCCGAUUCUUAUCCGUAAGGACAAGCUGUCGAUGGUUGUUUGAUUAGCAGGAAAAAGGAGGACUGGGCUCAACCUCCUGUGCCUACUGAGCUGAUAACAGUUGGUAAAGCACGCACUGGCUCAGUUCAGCAGGAACCGGAGUUAGGCCCCUUACUGCACCAAGCUGAUGCCAGAUAUCCCAGCAUCCUCCUCUGCGCACUUCAAUCAACAAUCUGGGGCAUAAGAGCAAGGGAGGAAGGCUGCUGUUUGGGCUUUAAGCAGAUUACGGAAGCAGAGCUUUUCCAGGCGGGUUUCAAGCCGAGUCAUUUUCAACAUAUGUUUUCAUUCAGCAAAUAAACUGUCAAAUUUGUUCAUCCCAGACACACCAUCAUGCCCUUUAUUUACAGCUAAUGAAGGAAAUGUGUUUUUCUUACUGUGUACAUAAAAAAAAUUAAAAAGAUGUUCUUAAAAAAAAA